UGUGCCUAAUCGAGUGAUUACUCUUUUGCCACCUUCCUCUGCAUCUUCACUGCUCCUUAGAAUUCCAACAACAAGAUUUUUUUUUUUUUUCAUUUUACUUUUGCUGAUUUCAGGAUUUUGCUAACUGAUGAACCUGUAUGUUGAGUUAUUGGCACUACACAGCACUUGUGUCUUGGAUUCCCUGGACAGAAAGGAGUAAGUAGACAAGGAAAGCACAAAAUUCCCUCAGAUGCAGAGGACAACUGCAAAGUAUCAUUUGUAGACAAACGGAACAGGACAGCAGAGAGAGUCAGGCCUACCUGAAACUAAGUGCACUCAGGGAUUCUGACCCCAACUGAUACCAGCUCUACAGGACUAUCCCUCACCAGUCCUCCCUUAAAUUUGUGUCCCUCUCAGUUUUCUUCCUGCAUACUUUUACAGUCUCCUUUUAAACCCUUUUUCUCUCCCCUCAAGCAGAACAUGUACAAUGAAUCAAGCUGCUUCUGUAAGAUCAGACUAAGUGACUAA